AUUGAACGCUGGCGGCAGGCCUAACACAUGCAAGUCGAGCGAGAGGCGGACGGGUGAGUAAAGUCUGGGAAACUGCCUGAUGGAGGGGGAUAACUACUGGAAACGGUAGCUAAUACCGCAUACCAUCAGAUGUGCCCAGAUGGGAUUAGCUAGUAGGUGGGGUAAUGGCUCACCUAGGCGCCACUCCCUAGCUGGGCUGAGAGGAGGACCAGCCACACUGGAACUGAGACACGGUCCAGACUCCUACGGGAGGCAGCAGUGGGGAAUAUUGCACAAUGGGCGCAAGCCUGAUGCAGCCAUGCCGCGUGUGUGAAGAAGGCCUUCGGGUUGUAAAGCACUUUCAGCGGGGAGGCGUUACCCGCAGAAGAAGCACCGGCUAACUCCGUGCCAGCAGCCGCGGUAAUUC
rnacentral:rRNA from 1 species